rnacentral:rRNA from 1 species
GUCCACGCCGUAAACGAUGAUUACUCGUUGCAGGCGAUACACAGUCUGUGACCAAGCGAAAGCAUUAAGUAAUCCACCUGGGGAGUACGUUGGCAACGAUGAAACUCAAAGGAAUUGACGGGGGCCCGCACAAGCGGAGGAACAUGUGGUUUAAUUCGAUGAUACGCGAGGAACCUUACCUGGAUUUAAAUGUGCUUGAUCGCCUCAGAAAAAGGGGUUUUCCGCAAGGACAAGUACAAGGUGCUGCAUGGUUGUCGU